rnacentral:lncRNA from 1 species
CUUAAAGUAAUAUAUACCACCUUUAUUCUUUCAGGGUGUUGGUCUAGUGAUAAUACAGUAAUCCUUCUAUAUUUGAUGGUCUUCAAAUUUAUUUUUUAAAGUGAAUCAGUAUCAUAAAAAAGGAAGACUUACUACUGAUAUUUUCUGCCGAUCAUUGAAAUCAUACAAGGUUCCUGCUCUUUAACACAUCAAGGGUAUAUAUAUAGGGCCGAAAAAACAAAGUUAGUUUCCUCAAGAUGAAUGGGCUGGUUACAGAGGCCCAAAGGGGAUCCCUAGUCUCUGGAAUCAGCGCAGGUAGGUUCAAUGUUGAAAUAGCAGAAUUUCACUUCAUUCGAAGCUCCACUGUAAGAAAAGUGGCAAGGCUCUACCAUGACCCUCCGGCCAGUGAGGGGAAGAAUGACGACUUUGACGUCAAACUCUUUAUCAACUAUGCCUAUAAUAUAUUUUGUUCACUCCAAACUAAAAUGGCAGUAUAGUUCUCUCAAAACACUGAACAACUAUAAACAUGUUUAUUUAUUAAACGAGGAAUUUUAUAUUCAAAUUGGUAUGAAAUGCAGAAGAAACCAUAUUUUUAAAACCAUUGUAACCCAAUAGUUUGUAUUUUCAAACCAAAAACAACAAAACUAACAAAAUUACACAAAUGUCAGAAUUAAAAUGUACCUAUCAAAGUAUAAUUGUAAAACCGAUAUCCAAAUUUAGAAUUCUUUGUAGAUUUAAUUUUCAUAAAAUAUCUGAGUUCAAUUAAUUUAUCAUUUUACGUAAUAAUACUUCGCUUAUCAAUCGCGAAAACUGCCAAAAGAUACAAAAAUAGUUUAAUAAUUUUUUGGGGGUACAAGGCUGAAAAUUUAGAUUCUGUAAAAAAAUUAAUUGCCAAAUUAAUUUUUUUCCAUAUUUCCCUACUUGAUGUGAGUCCCUUAGAUUGAAAACAAGAGCACUUCAACGAUACCAAAUAUAUUUUUGAAUUUUAUAGGAUACUAUUAAUUACACUAUUCACUUAUCAGAGUUAAGAGACCCUUUUAUGGAAGACUCCUGAAGAAUAAAACGGGAUAUUCAAUAAAAAUACGUCUGGAUCAGUUCUGUAUCAACCUCGACAACACUAUUUGGAAUUAUACGGGAUGUAUUCUGCAAAAUCCUUUCAAAAACUUGGAAUAAAAAUUGUUGGGAUAUACAUUAGCUACAUGUUCCUUAUUUACAAAUAAUGAGAUCUCCACCCACCGGAGAAAUAUUGUACCGUUUGUAAAAUAGAAGUUGAGUCCUCUUGCAUAUAUUCCAAAGUUCCCCUAAGAUGCUCUACCUUCGUAAGACAGCUGAAGAUUUAGUAUUCAACGCUUUUGGUGUGAUGCUCUCGGAGAGCAACUGGCUCAUAAUGAUAAAUUCGGAAGUGGGUCAAAAUUUGAAGUUGGAGUGCAUAAUAAUAGACUUACUACUAUCAGUUUUUGAACAUAAACAGAGCAGUAACUAUCCCAAGCCUUCUUUAGUUAAAUCAUUUGAAAAUUAAAAUGACACUAUGACUCUUC